rnacentral:lncRNA from 1 species
GGUUAUAUCUUAAGUGUGGUGCUGCUAACAUUGCCCAGGCAACAUCUGGUUCAGCUUUAUCUAUAUUUUUUGACUGCUCUGCUUUUCUAUACUGGACAUCAAAUUUCCAGGGACUACGUUCGGAGUGAACUGCGGUUUGCCUAUGAGGGACCAAUGUAUUUAGAACCUCUCUCUAUGAAUCGGUUUACCACAGCCUUAAUAGGUCAGUUGGUGGUGUGUACUUUAUGCUCCUGUGUCAUGAAAACAAAGCAGAUUUGGCUGUUUUCAGCUCACGUGCUUCCUCUGCUAGCACGACUCUGCCUGGUUCCUUUGGAGACAAUUGUUAUCAUCAAUAAAUUUGCUAUGAUUUUUACUGGAUUGGAAGUUCUCUAUUUUCUUGGGUCUAAUCUUUUGCUACCUUAUAACCUUGCUAAAUCUGCAUACAGAGAAUUGGUUCAGGUAGUGGAGGUAUAUGGCCUUCUCACCUUGGGAAUGUCCUUGUGGAAUCAACUGGUAGUCCCUGUUCUUUUCAUGGUUUUCUGGCUCAUCUUAUUUGCUCUUCAGAUUUACUCCUAUUUCAGUACUCGAGAUCAGCCGGCAUCACGUGAGAGGCUUCUUUUCCUUUUUCUGACAAGUAUUGCAGAAUGCUGCAGCACUCCUUACUCUCUUUUGGGUUUGGUCUUCACGGUUUCUUUUGUUGCCUUGGGUGUUCUCACACUCUGCGAGUUUUACUUGCAGGGUUAUCGAGCUUUCAGGAAUGAUCCUGCCAUGAAUUGGAGCAUGACAGAAGGAGUAACGCUGUUAAUCCUGGCAGUGCAGACUGGGCUGAUAGAACUGCAGGUUGUUCAUCGGGCAUUCCUGCUCAGUAUUAUCCUUUUCAUUGUUGCAGCUUCUAUCCUACAGUCUAUGUUAGAAAUUGCAGAUCCUAUUGUUUUGGCACUGGGAGCAUCCAGAGACAAGAGCUUGUGGAAACACUUCCGUGCUGUGCGACUUUGUUUAUUUUUAUUGGUAUUCCCUGCUCAUAUGGCUUAUAUGAUUUGCCAGUUUUUCCACCUGGAUUUUUGGCUUCUUAUCAUUAUUUCCAGCAGCAUUCUUACCUCUCUUCAGGUUCUGGGAACACUUUUUAUUUAUGUCUGAUUUAUGGUUGAGGAAUUCAGAAAAGAGCCGGUGGAAAACAUGGAUGAUGUCAUCUACUAUGUGAAUGGCACUUACCACCUGCUGGAGUUUCUUGCGGCCGUCUGUAUGGUGGCCUAUUGCGUCUCAGAGACCAUCUUUGGAGAAUGGACAGUGAUGGGCUCAAUGAUCAUCCAUUCAUUCCUACUAUAACGUGUGGCUUCAGGCCCAGCUGGGGUGGAAGAGCUUUCUUCUCCACAGGGAUGCUGUGAAUAAGAUUAAAUCGUUACCCAUUGCUACGAAAGAGCAGCUUGAGAAACACAAUGAUAUUUGUGCCAUCUGUUAUCAGGUAACUCCUUCGAUAAGAAUCUGUUUGGGACAUGAAAUCUGCUGUGAUCACGCCUUGCGUUCAUUUUUUCCAUGCAGGCUGUCUUAAGAAAUGGCUGUAUGUCCAGGAGACCUGCCCUCUGUGCCACUACCACCUGAAAAACUCCUCCCAGCUUCCAGGAUUAGGAACUGAGCCAGUUCUACAGCCUCAUGCUGGAGCUGAGCAAAACAUCAUGUUUCAGGAAGGAACUGAACCCCCAGGCCAAGAGCAUACUCCAGGGACCAGGAUACAGGAAGGUUCUAGGGACAAUAAUGAGCGCAUCGCCAGACAACCAGAUAGCCAGGAAGGGGCUUUUGACCCCAAAGAAUAUCUUCACAGUGCAAAAGAUGAAGCACAUCCUGUUGAAUCAGCCUAG